UUGGAACUACCCAAGAGUAAGGCAGAGCUGUUGGGCUCCAGACUACAGCAUGGAAUCUCCUGGCAGGUGAUCAGGAAAAUGGAGCCCAUCAAUGCUUGCAGA